GAGGAUUUAGUUUAAUUAAAGCGUCUGGUUUGCGUCCAGGAGAUGUGGGGUGUAGUCCUGCAAUCUUUG
rnacentral:tRNA from 1 species